AAUCCUGAGUUAUGGGAGCCAUGAUGAUGUAAAAUUGGUUUUUUUAUAACAUUACAACCGAAAAGGCAAAUACUAUCAGCUUAGCUUAGCGAAACUUUGAAAACAUUUCAUAGGCGUUUUAAAAUUUUUAUAAAUCCGGUGUGGUUGCGUAUGAUUACAUAAAAACAAUUCAUUGGUGGGACCGAAAGCAACGUAGCCAUGUAAACUAAGUGGAACAGGAGAGAGCAUACAAAAUUGGUUUUUUGAUAAGAAAACAUUCGCAGCCUAAUGAACCUAUUUCUUUUGUCACGCAGUUAAGUUUAGGAGCAAAUACACCCUUUGUAUGCGGUUUUACUUGUAACUUAACACAAGCGAAAUAAAGGGAGCCAAAACAUUGGAGAUGACAAAGGGCGUUAUUGUUGCAGCUCCCACUCCGACCUAAGCUCUUCAAGCUUGGAAUAUCUCGCUUCGCCCCGUUAUUACCACUCAAUGCGAAAAAUCACAAGCAGUUUCAAGUAUUUUUACAGUCAAAUUGUUUUUAUUCACUUAAACAAAUAAUCAAGAGCAAAACGAUGAAUCUCACUUUACCGACAAAACAACACAGUAGCUCCAGGGUUGAAAAGUGUUUGAGGGAUGACUUCUUAACCGCCCGUUCCGCUGCUUAUACUUGAGGACGCCUCGAGUACUAGAUUCGCUGAAAUGUAUGUAAGACGGGGUAUUGGGACUUCUCAACAAAAGCAGUACUCGAGUAGAUUUAAGAAGAGAUGCAGAAAAAGUAUU
rnacentral:sRNA from 1 species